rnacentral:lncRNA from 1 species
CUCCCAAAGUGCUGGGAUUACAGGCGUGAGCCACUGUGCCUGGCCUGUCUGCCACCUUUGAUGGACAGUGUGACUACAGGGACAGAGGAAGAUUCCCCAAAGACCUGCACUCACCCCCUCUAAUGCAUGUCCAGACAUCGUCUGGCUCUCAGCACUCCCCUCCAUUGCCCAAAGCCCUUUUGCAGGACCUCUGCCUGUUCUGCCUGCUUUGUGCUUUGUUUUGUUGCAUUUUAUUUCCUUUUCUUUCCUGUUUCUAACCCAGUCAUCUCUUUUUCUAGUUAUUCCCAACCUAUAUAACUCACAUGCACUGGAGGAAAUAUCUUCAUGGAAUUAAAACCACAUGGAGUAACAUUUCACGUAAGCAGAAUUCAGGAAGGAUUUCAGUAAUUCCAUCCCAAACACACACAGGCAAAGGGAGUGAAGAUUUCUUCAGCAACAUGGUGGCAGAAAGAUCAUGAAAAGAUCUAGGCCAGUCCAAGCUCACUGCAGUUAAAUCUUCAGUCUCCAGCACUGCACUUGGGAAAGCGUCAAGGAGUUGACUGUAUAUGUAAUUGGAGUGCCAGAAGAAGAGAACCGAGAGAGAGGGGCAGAACAGCUCAUGAGGGGAAAACCCACUACAUACAAUCAAGAAUACUGCAGACUCCUCAUCGGAAUCUAUGUGGCCACAGAGUGCAUGUGCUAUGAGGGACCCGUCCGACAUAUACCCUCCCAGAAGAGCAGGAAAGGGGGUUCA